AGUGAACGCUGGCGGCAGGCCUAACACAUGCAAGUCGAGCGAGCGGCGGACGGGAGAGUAAUGUAGGGGAAACUGCCUGAUGGAGGGGGAUAACUAUUGGAAACGGUAGCUAACACCGAAAACUAUCAGAUGGGCCUAGAUGGGAUUCGAGGGUAGGUGGGGUAACGGCUCACAUAGGCGACGAUCCCUAGCUGGUCUGAGAGGAUGACCAGCCACGCGUGAACUUGGACACUGUCCAUACUCCUCCGUGAGGCAGCAGUGGGGAAUAUUGCACAAUGGGCGCAAGCCUGAUGCAGCCAUGCCGCGUGUGUGAGUAAGGCCUUCGGGUUGUAAAGCACUUUCAGCUUUGAGGCGUUACCCGCAGAAGAAGCACCGGCUAACUCCGUGCCAGCAGCCGCGGUAAUUC
rnacentral:rRNA from 1 species